UAAUUUCUAUAUUAAGUUCCUUAACAGCAUUAACACUUAAGGAGAUAAUUUAUUUAUGCAAGUUAUGGAUAUUUUAUCUUUCUUUUGAACAAAUUUGCUCUAAAUAUUAGAGUGCUUACGGUGGUUGAAUGUAUUUAGCAAUUAUGGAGUUGUUGAAAACUUGAGCAAAAGAAGGAUGGUAUACCAAGUUGUUUCUAGUUUGGGCAUUUUGAAGUAUACAUAUAUAAAUUCAAUAUUAUUCCCUAGAUAGAGUGGUUGAGGCAUCUUGCUGUUUAUACAUUAAAGAUGUUUUGCUAUUUUUUCUUUUUGGUGGAUUAGAUUGUAUCAGAGUUACACAAGAUAGUGGAAUCUUUUGGAUUUCUCGAAGUUGAAACUCCAGUUCUACAGGGAGUAGCUGGUGGAGCAGAAGCAAGACCAUUUGUUACCUACCAUAAUUCGCUAGGAAGGGAUCUUUAUUUGAGGAUAGCAACAGAGCUCCACUUGAAGAGGAUGCUGGUUGGAGGGUUUGAAAAAGUUUAGGAGAUUGGUCGAAUAUUCAGAAAUGAAGGGAUUUCAAAUCGUCACAAUCCAGAAUUUAAAGCAAUGAAAUGGAGCAUAAGGUUAAGGCCUGGAAGAUUUUUCACAGUUCCUGUAAGAUUGGAGGCUUUUUUAUUUCCUUCCUUCUUGGACUAGGAAACUUGAGACUUA